rnacentral:rRNA from 1 species
GACAGAGGGUGCUAGCGUUGUUCGGAAUUACUGGGCGUAAAGGGCGCGUAGGCGGCCCGUUUAGUCGGGUGUGAAGUCCCGGGGCUCAACCCCGGAACUGCACUCGAUACUGGCGGGCUUGAGACCGGAAGAGGUGGGUGGAAUACCCAGUGUAGAGGUGAAAUUCGUAGAUAUUGGGUGGAACACCGGUGGCGAAGGCGGCUCACUGGUCCGGUUCUGACGCUGAGGCGCGAAAGCGUGGGGAGCAAACAGG